UAGAGUUUGAUCCUGGCUCAGGACGAACGCUGGCGGCGCGCCUAACACAUGCAAGUCGAACGAGCGAGAGAGAGCUUGCUUUCUCGAGCGAGUGGCGAACGGGUGAGUAACGCGUGAGGAACCUGCCUCAAAGAGGGGGACAACAGUUGGAAACGACUGCUAAUACCGCAUAAGCCCACGGUGCCGCAUGGCACAGAGGGAAAAGGAGCAAUCCGCUUUGAGAUGGCCUCGCGUCCGAUUAGCUAGUUGGUGAGGUAACGGCCCACCAAGGCAACGAUCGGUAGCCGGACUGAGAGGUUGAACGGCCACAUUGGGACUGAGACACGGCCCAGACUCCUACGGGAGGCAGCAGUGGGGAAUAUUGCACAAUGGGGGAAACCCUGAUGCAGCGACGCCGCGUGGGGGAAGAAGGUCUUCGGAUUGUAAACUCCUGUUGUUGGGGAAGAUAAUGACGGUACCCAACAAGGAAGUGACGGCUAACUACGUGCCAGCAGCCGCGGUAAAACGUAGGUCACAAGCGUUGUCCGGAAUUACUGGGUGUAAAGGGAGCGCAGGCGGGAAGACAAGUUGGAAGUGAAAUCUAUGGGCUCAACCCAUAAACUGCUUUCAAAACUGUUUUUCUUGAGUAGUGCAGAGGUAGGCGGAAUUCCCGGUGUAGCGGUGGAAUGCGUAGAUAUCGGGAGGAACACCAGUGGCGAAGGCGGCCUACUGGGCAUCAACUGACGCUGAGGCUCGAAAGUGUGGGUAGCAAACAGGAUUAGAUACCCUGGUAGUCCACACCGUAAACGAUGAUUACUAGGUGUUGGAGGAUUGACCCCUUCAGUGCCGCAGUUAACACAAUAAGUAAUCCACCUGGGGAGUACGACCGCAAGGUUGAAACUC
rnacentral:rRNA from 1 species